CUCUCUCUCCAGCUUGUGGGACAAGCUCAGCCGGUCUUCAUCUUCAUCGAGCAACCCAUCCCCCACGUUUUCUUUCCCCACGCCAGCGAAGCCGCCCAUCUGCCUUGCUUCUGCUUUUGCUUCGCUUUUAUUCUUCUCUCUCGGAUCCUUCAGCUGCUCCACUCAACCGAACUCUCUUCCUCAGUUGUUGCCACUUGGCCAUCGAGUCAACAAACCGGCGUUCCCUCCACCGAGUUGACUGCCACUCGUCCGCUUGCUACCAGCGUCUUCCACCUUCGCUGGUUUCACUUUACCGAAGCAGCUGAUGUUUCCUUGCCCACGAUCCACCGAAUUCCUGAAGCUAUAUUGAAGCCCACCGAAGCUGCCUUGCCGUGUCUUCGAUUUACUGGGUCAAUUCCACUGCAAGCAAAGCCCAGGUGUUGACCGAAGCAGCUGCCAGCGUCCCAACCUUCAUCCAUCUUCGCCUGCUUCUCCACCGAAGACUCACGCCACCACCGAAGCUUUCUGCUCUGUUUCGCUGCUUCUAUCUCCGUUCGGUCUUGUGAAGUCAAGCGGAGCAGCCGCGGCAGCGAAGACUCCAUCUUCGUCCACCGAAGCUGCUCCUUCACGCGUCCACGCCAGCUGCUUCCCUGUUCCAUCUUCGGCCACACGCCUGCUCUCCACCAACGUUGAUCUUUUCUCCUCAAGCCACCGAAACCCGCUCGAAGCCAGCAACAAAUUCGACCCAGUUUGUUCAAUCACAGCAAGCCCAGUCCAUGAGCAAGCAUUUUUGCUCAGUCCAGCCCAACGUUGGCCACAGAUUUCAAGCCUUUCAGCCCAGUUCGGCCUUCUCUUCAGCAGUUCAGCCCAAGAUGGUUUAAUUCAAGUUGCAGCCCAGUCCAGCAUUUUAAACCCAGUUCAACAGCCCAGUAAUUUGAGGCCCAUUUCAGCAGCCCAAUCUUGAAGCCCGUCUUCAGCAGGCCCAGCCCAAUUUGGGUCCAGCCCAUAAGCAAGAAUAAAUCUCAGUUGGGCUGAGAUUUGUUGGGCAAAAUUUAAGGCCCGGUCCAAGCCCGCCGAGGUCGUCGAAAGUCCAAUUUCGGCCGCCGUCGCGUCGCCGUCGCGGUGUCCCGGUCCCCGCUUUUAAUCAAGACCCUGAUGAGGAGCAUGAGGAGAAGGAACCUGAAGAGGAGAACCUUGAUGUGGAACCAAAUGAGGAAGAACAUUUUGGAGAAGAAGAUGACCACGAGGAGGAUCCUGAGUACGACCCGGAUGAGGACUGAGAUCCCAUCUUGUUUUGUCAGACCUUGAUUAUAUGUGGAGAAGUGUUAGAUCAGAACCCUGUGAAUAGUAUUACAUUAUAUAUUAUGAGGUGCUUGUGUAAAAGAGUGGUUGUGAAUUUCAGUAUGGAAAUUAUGGCCCUACUUUUCUAUCA